AUAUUAUUUAUUUAAGAAAUUAUGAAUUAGUAAUUUAAUUUAAUAUAGAUAUAUUUUGUGCCAGCAAUCGCGGUUAUACAAAAUAUAUAAAUAAAUUAUAUUAAAAAAAAAUAUAUAAUAAAUAUUUUUAUUAUAGUCUGUAUAUGAAAUAUAGUAAAAAUUAGUAAUAAUAAAUUUUAAUGUUUAAUUUAUAUUAUUAGGUAAAAUUUUAAUAUUAUAAAAAUUUUAAAUAAUAUUUAUAUUUAUUUUAUAAAUUUUUUUAUAAACUAGGAUUAGAUACCCUAUUAUUAAAAUAUAAAAAUGAUUUUUGGAUUAGUAUUAAAUAUAUUUAUGAAAUUAAAAUAAUUUGGCGGUAUUUUAGUCUAUUUAGAGGAAUUUGUUUUAUAAUCGAUAAUCCUCGUUUUAUCUUACUUAUUUUAUUAAAUUUGUAUAUCGUUAUCAUUAGAAUAUUUUAAAAGAAUAAUAAUUUUCUAAAAUUUUAUAAAAUUUUAUGUUAAAUCAAGGUGCAGUUUAUAUUUAAGUAAAAAUGAAUUACAAUAAAAUUUAAUUAAUAUGGAUUAAAAUUUGAAAAAAUUUUAUGAAGGUGGAUUUAAUAGUAAAUUAAAAAAGUAUAUUUAAUUGAUUUUAGCUCUAAAAUAUGUACAUAUUGCCCGUCGCUCUUAUUAUUAAAAUAAGAUAAGUCGUAACAAAGUAGAGGUAUUGGAAAAUGUCUCUAGAUGAU
rnacentral:rRNA from 1 species